GCUGAAUUGGAGGAACAGAUUAGGAUUAUGCAGGAGGCGUCAAAGAAGGAUAAGGAAGAAUUGGGAGAAGAAAUUAAGGAGAGUGCAAGCAAGAUCUUGGAGGAGAUGUGAUCCUUGUUUGCAGUUACUAUAGUGGAAAAAAACAAGGGAAAUAAUUCUCGAGAAAUGAAGUGGCUGGGUCUUUUGCUGCUGUUCUCAGAGGGAAGGGAAUUCUACCCAAACCUAAUGAGAAUGGGAAUCAGCUGCAGAAAGAAGAUAAUAGUGUUGGAUCUACAGCAGAGAAUGAAGGUAUGUCAAAGAUCUUG
rnacentral:misc_RNA from 1 species